UACGUAGGGGCAAGCGUUGUCCGGAAUCAUUGGCGUAAGAAGUGCGUAGGCGGUUCCGGUAAGUCCGCCCUGAAAGAUCCCGGGGGCUCAACCCCGGGAGGCGGGCGGAUACUGACCGGGCUAGAGUCCGGAAGAGGCGAGUGGAAUUCCGUGGUGUAGCGGUGAAAUGCGCAGAUAUCAGGAGGAACACCGAUGGCGAAGGCAGCUCCCUGGGUCAAGAUUGACGCUCAUGCACGAAAGCGUGGGGAGCAAACAGG
rnacentral:rRNA from 1 species